GAAGAGAUGGGAAACCAGAAGAUCUUUGGAAAGUGUAAAAUGUGACCCAUUCAAGGAUUCAUGAACAUUGCGUGAGCGUUAUACCAGACCUAAAAAAGGAGACAAGCUACAGCUCGGAAACUCUCACCUUCAGCAAUAUAACGGGAGAGGCGGUCAAUAAAAUAAGGAUUUCAACAGAGCAUAGUGAUGACUCGUGAGCCCGGCACAUAUCUAAUGCAUUUAAAUGAAAUAUCAGUGCCAAGACGUCUCAGAGCAAGUGAGCUUUCGCUGAGCCAUGGACAACACUUUUAAAGAAUCAGUGGAAGGGCUUAAGAGUAUAUAAUUGUGUGUGUGUGCUAACGUUUAAAGGUUUAAAACCUAUCAAGUAUUAGGAAGAGAAUGUGUGUGGCGGUG
rnacentral:lncRNA from 1 species